rnacentral:lncRNA from 1 species
UAUCAGGUGUAGUUGAUUGUGCUUGGAAACUUGUUAUGGCAUUAAGUCAUGUUAAAUGGAUGGAGUUUCAAUUUAGAUAAAAUCCAAUGCAAGCCCUGAACUUGUAUCUGUCUAGUAAAAAUAACUGGCAUCUCAGGAAUUUGUGGAUGAAUCUGUUCAAGCCCUUCUGACAAUAAAAAAUGGUGGCUACUUCAUGAAGGGAGAAGCAGACAGCACUUUGGUGACCACUCAGAUUGAAGCAAUGACAGAUGAAAAUAGUGGAAACAAAUCACAAGGGCAGUAUAUCAGCCAGCAUUCAAGUGAAGGGAAUCCUGGCUUCUUGUCUGCUUUAGGGCUGCAUCCUGCAGGAGAAAAUGUCAUCAAGAGAACUCCUGAAAAAACUGUACCACCUAUUUUUAAUAGGAGAGGCACGCCGCAGCGGAUCCGCAAGAAGAACCGACUCUACUUCGACGACGACCACGUCAGCGCUCCCACGUUUCGCUCCUCACCCAAAAAGUCGCCGGCGCCAGCCAGGGAGCGGACCUUGGUCCCGGCGCCGAUCGCCGCGCCGCCGCGACCCGCCGCCA